rfam:Ornithorhynchus anatinus chromosome 4, whole genome shotgun sequence.
CCCCUCCCAGGAUCGCACCUGGAGAGUUUCUAGUAUUCUACGAGUGUCGGCUACAAGAGGGAGAGUCAAGCAGAGGCAUACUCAUUCCAUUCCUAGCUUGACCAGUGACUAGCUAGUGGAAGGCAAUCUGUGACAAGU